rnacentral:rRNA from 1 species
GACGAACGCUGGCGGCGUGCCUAACACAUGCAAGUCAGGGAGAAUAGGGUAGCAAUAUCCUUAGUAAACCGGCGAACGGGUGAGUAACACGUAGAUAAUCAACCUUGAAGUUGGGGACAACCUCGCGAAAGCGGGGCUAAUACCGAAUGACACAACCGGUUCUUAUGGAUUGGUUGUCAAAGCUUCCGAGCGCUUCAAGACGAGUCUGCGUCCGAUUAGCUAGUUGGUGAGGUAAUGGCUCACCAAGGCUACGAUCGGUAGCCGACCUGAGAGGGUGAUCGGCCACACUGGGACUGAGAUACGGCCCAGACUCCUACGGGAGGCAGCAGUCGAGAGGCUUCCGCAAUGGGGGAAACCCUGACGGAGCGACGCCGCGUGGGCGAUGAAGGCCUGGUGUAAG